rnacentral:rRNA from 1 species
AGUGAACGCUGGCGGUAGGCCUAACACAUGCAAAUCGAACGGCAGCACAGUAAGAGCUUGCUCUUACGGGUGGCGAGUGGCGGACGGGUGAGGAAUACAUCGGAAUCUACUUUUUCGUGGGGGAUAACGUAGGGAAACUUACGCUAAUACCGCAUACGACCUACGGGUGAAAGCAGGGGAUCUUCGGACCUUGCGCGAUUGAAUGAGCCGAUGUCGGAUUAGCUAGUUGGCGGGGUAAAGGCCCACCAAGGCGACGAUCCGUAGCUGGUCUGAGAGGAUGAUCAGCCACACUGGAACUGAGACACGGUCCAGACUCCUGCAGGAGGCAGCAGUGGGGAGUAUUGGACAAUGGGCGCAAGCCUGAUCCAGCCAUACCGCGUGGGUGAAGAAGGCCUUCGGGUUGUAAAGCCCUUUUGUUGGGAAAGAAAAGCAGCAGGUUAAUACCCCGCUGUUCUGACGGUACCCAAAGAAUAAGCACCGGCUAACUUCGUG